AACGCAUCUUGCGCCCCUUGGUUACUCCGAAGGGCAUGCCUGUUUGAGAGUCAUUAUUAUUCUCAACUUUUAAGAGUUUGCUUUGCCAGACUUUUGAAGCUUGGAUAUGGGGGAUAUUAUGCUGGCGUUGUUACAUGUGCUGGCUCCUCUGAAAUGCAUUAGCGGAGAACCUUAAUGUCCUUUGGCUCUGGUUUGAUAAUUGAUAUCUAUGCCAUUGCUGAGGAAAAUGGUUCUAGCUUCUAAAGCAAAGCUGAAUUUUGAAACUUGACCUCAAAUCAGGUAGGACUACCCGCUGAACUUAA
rnacentral:misc_RNA from 1 species